rnacentral:rRNA from 1 species
UACGUAGGGUGCGAGCGUUAAUCGGAAUUACUGGGCGUAAAGCGUGCGCAGGCGGUUUUGUAAGCCAGAUGUGAAAUCCCCCGGGCUUAACCUGGGAAUGGCAUUUGGGACUGCAAGGCUCGAGUGCGGCAGAGGAGACUGGAAUUCCUGGUGUAGCAGUGAAAUGCGUAGAUAUCAGGAGGAACACCGAUGGCGAAGGCAGGUCUCUGGGCUGACACUGACGCUCAUGCACGAAAGCGUGGGGAGCAAACAGG